UGCCACCUCGUCAAUGACAAGCUGUUCCAAUCACACAGCUCAGACACCAAGUGCCCUGGACCACCGGCAGCUCGGGCCUCCUCCCUCCUGAGGGCGGAAGGCAACUCAGCACAGGAGGGGUGGCGAGCCCCCAGGGCCAGGCCCCCAGCCCACAGCGCUCCAUCCCAGCAGGCAGACCUCUCCAAGCAGUUCCAACAACUCGGGCCAACGGCCCCCUUGGCCUUCGACGCUGGCGCUGCCCUCUCCCCUGCUCCGAAGCACAGAGAGAUCCCGAACCAAGCCGGAGACCACCAGCGCGGCGCUUCUCCAAAGAACCAAGCACAAAAGUGAACUGAAAACCAAGUACUCACGGUGGUGAAGUCCUGGUGGCCACACUCCUGCCCUUUGAACUUGCAGUAGAGCAUCAUAUCCUUCAGGUCAUGGCCCACGCGGUGCAGGAACUCCAGCAUGCUGAACUGCUUGGGCUUAUAAUGCUUGAAGUUGGCCUUCUGCCGCAGGGCCUCCAGCACCGUGGGGUCAGCCAGGUGCGGGUCCGGGAUCUGCAGGUUGACAUCCAGCAGGGCCAGCAGCUCCCCGGCGUGGUACAGGUCAUUGGUGGUGAGCCUGGAGAAGCGGAAGCCGUUGAGGUUACAGAGGGUCACCGCCGGGAAGACCAGGCUUUGCGCCACCACCUCGUCCACCUUGGUGACGUGCUGGUAGGAGAAGUAGUAAGACACCCUCUCGGAGCUCUCCACCAGCAGCAGGCCCAGGGAGCCCACGAAGGCCACGGCCCAGAGCACGCGCCGGAUGGUCAGCGGUCCGUACACAAAGAUGUGGCGGAUGCCGUGGAGGGUGGAGGUGUUGGCGAAGAUCUGGAGGCUGGAGGGCUGCAGACUCCCCUCGCUGGGGCUGUCCUUGAGGUCCAUGGGGACCCUGUGCAAUUCCGCAACGGGCUUCAGGUUGAUGAGAUUUCAGGCAAGAGUCCCCAAGUCCUCGGGCUCUGCUCAAACCUUGACGUUCAAGGGAGGGAAGGAAAAGCAAGCAUCAGGCCAGGCGCCGCCGCCGUGAGUUUAUCCUGAGAGCCCAGCCGCACGCUGCCAGGGCCACCCCCACAGUAUAUGCGUUCCUGGGCCUUAGAUCAGAUCCAAGCCACAGUCUCAACCUACGUUGCAGCGGCAGCAAUGCCAGAUCCAGGCUGGGGAUGGAACCUGCAUCCUGGCACUGCAGAGACACCGCCACCAAUCCUGUUACACCACAGUGGGACCUCCUGGGGCUCGAAUUUUCUAUGGAUUCACCACGCACCCCAUCCUCUUCUUUACGAAUGUUCCAGGAAAUCUAGUCUACAGCGAGCCAGGCAGCAGAGGCAGAUCUUCACAUGUUACCAUUGUAUCAUCGACAGAGUGGGUCCCUUUUGCUGAUGUGGGAAAGGAGAACAGGAACAGGUCUGCGACCCUCUGUGACAUAUUGUGGGACUCUGCAGGGAGUCUUGGGGAAGGUCUUGAAAGUUCCACUAUUGCUUCUUCCGCAUGAAAGCAAUUCGGUCUUACUUAUCAGAAACCUGUACUUGUCACAGUCUUUCCAUGAAUCUUCUUCCAGAUGAAACACUUUUGCAGGAACACUUUUGCAAAAGCAUCAGACUAAAACAGUAAGGGUCCGAGGAAACGAAUCUGAGUAGGAUCCAUGAACACGAAGGUUCAAUCGCUGGCCUGGCUCAGUGGGUUAAGGAUCCGGCGUUGCCGUGAGCUGUGGUGUAGGUCACAGAUGCGGCUCGGAUCUGGCAUUGCUGUGGCUGUGGUGUAGGUUGGCAGCUGUGGCUCAGAUUCCACCCCUAGCCUGGGAACUUCCAUGUGCUGCGGGUCCGGCCCUAAAAAGCAAAAAAAGAAAGAAAAAAAAAAUCCUAAUUUUAUUAAAAGCUUAAUAUCUCUCUUUUAUAAAGAGAAAGAACACAUCUUUUCAGAUAUUCCAGAAACUCUGGAAAAUCCUGAAGUGAGUUAAAGGUCAAUAAGAAUGCAUUUAGAAUUUCAUUUUUUUAAGAAAGUUUGUCAAAAAUAUCAAAAGGUUUUAAAACACUGGUUUAAAUAAAAUCAUAGUCCCCUAUGCAACAAUACUUAAUUAUCUAUUUACUCAAAGUGACAAAGACUUCAAAGGCAAAUGCAGAAAGUUACAGAGUUGCUUAGCUAUUUUAACAGAGAAGCCUCGGUUUCUUAAGUAAUCAAAGGCAUGAGAGGAGUUUCCCGGGGUGACUCAGCAGUUUCGAUCCCUGGCCUUGCUCAGUGGGUUAAGGAUCCGGCGCUGCCAUGAGCUGUGGUGUAGGUCGCAGAUGCGGCUCAGAUCUGGCGUUGCUGUGGCUGUGGUGUAGGCCGGUGGCUACAGCUCUGAUUCCACCCCUAGCCUGGGAACCUCCACAUGCUACGGGUGCGGCCCUAAAA